CUUCUUGCUCUUCUUUCCUUUCUCAAAGGGUCGAGAACCAGAAGAUGAACCUCCCACUAAGUUCACUGACUCUUUGUGGAGUUGGUGAUCCUUCUCAAAGUUCUGAAGCAACCCCAGUAAUUCGUGGUAGUUUACUUCAGACUUUGUUAUUCUAUAAUGAGUGAGGAAUGGGAGAUAAGACUUGGGCAGCGAGUUCAGUAUUGCAUCUUUCUCAAGCUGCUCAUGCAAGGGAAAGUCGAGCUUG
rnacentral:lncRNA from 1 species